CAAUUCCGUGAGCUUUCUGAUCACCAGUGUUUUGAACUGGCAGGUUGGCUAUCUCUUCAUCACUUAGUUCUUUUUCUGGAACUUUGAUCUGUUCUUUCAUUUGGGCCCUGUGUCUUUGUUUUGGCACAGCUGCUACAUUGUAAGGGGUGCAGUCUUAGGUAUUCACCAGGGCAAGACAACCCACGUCACUGCACUGUGGCACUGUAUGUGUGGGAGCGGUCAGAGAGAGAACAAGGC